rnacentral:rRNA from 1 species
UUCGGGUUGUAAAGCACUUUCAGUCGUGAGGAAGGCGGGUACGUUAAUAGCGUAUUCGUUUGACGUUAGCGACAGAAGAAAGCACCGGCUAACUCCGUGCCAGCAGCCGCGGUAAUACGGAGGGUGCGAGCGUUAAUCGGAAUUACUGGGCGUAAAGCGCAUGCAGGUGGUUUGUUAAGUCAGAUGUGAAAGACCCGGGGCGUCAACCUCGGAAUAGCAUUUGAAACUAGGCAGACUAGAGUACUGUAGAGGGGGGUAGGAAUUUCAGGUGUAGCGGUGAAAUGCGUAGAGAUCUGAAGGAAUACCGGUGGCGAAGGCGGCCCCCUCGGACAGAUACUGACACUCAGAUGCGAAAGCGUGGGGAGCAAACAGGAUUAGAUACCCUGGUAG